rnacentral:lncRNA from 1 species
AAGUUAUAUUCCCCUGUUUUCACGUGCUCGGAGCAGCAGUGCAGAAAUGCUUCAGCAGAUGAUCAUUGCAAUGACCUAUGUUCUCCUGACCCUCUUCUAUGCUGAACAUACUGAAUCCUCCUCAAGCUGCUAUCAUGAGAAAGUCGAAAUAAAAAGAGUGGAUGAAAAUGCAACAGCAUUUGUGUCCUGUCCAGCACUUGCAGAGCAUGAAAAACCAUCUAUCACUCUAUACAAGGGAGAUACAAAGCUGCACUCAACAAACCUGAAUGAUGUGGACAGCAAUCAAUCAUGGCAGCGGUUUCAGGUGCACAUACAAAACUCCUCAGUCUCAUAUAAGAUUUUAAGAACUGAAGCCAGUGACACAGGACUCUACAACUGCAUAAUCUGGACAGAGGUUUCCCUGACUAUAUUACUAAUUAAAGAUGCUCUGCUGCCCAAAGAAUCAACUGUCACUUGUCCCACUGAUCAGACACUGCCACUUACUGUUGGCUGUGUGAUCAUCGUUGUAUAUAGUCUGUUCAUCACUGUCUUUGGCCGUUACCUCAAAUAUAAACUCAAGAACACAGAGCCAGCUGAGAAUCCCUACAUAAACACAAGACCAAGAGGAUUCAGACGACGCUGAAGACAAAUAUCAGCAGCGUAGCAAUAUGUCAGUCUUCCACUGGCUGUUACAUUUGUACCUCCUAUCAGCUGAGCAGUACUGCCCAGAGAGUGUAUUAAAC